rnacentral:pre_miRNA from 1 species
CCCUUAACUAUUAAAAGUUUCGUUUUGGUCCUUUAACUUACUUUUUGGUUUUGUUUUGGUCCCUUAACUCAUCCUCUGUCAACCACUUUGGUCCUUUAUGUUAGGAUGAAUGUAUUAGAGUUAAGGGACCAAAAUUAAACUAAAAAAUAAGUUAAGGGACCAAAACGAAACCAAAAAGUAAGUUAAAGGACCAAAACGAAAAUUUUAAUAGUUAAGGGACCAAAAUAAAACCAAAAAAUAAGUUAUGGGACCGAAACAAAACUUUUAAUAGUUAAGGAA